rnacentral:rRNA from 1 species
GACGAACGCUGGCUGCGUGCUUAACACAUGCAAGUCGAACGGAAAGGCCCUGCUUUUGUGGGGUGCUCGAGUGGCGAACGGGUGAGUAACACGUGAGUAACCUGCCCUUGACCUUGGGAUAACUUCAGGAAACUGGGGCUAAUACCGGAUAGGAGCUCCUGCUGCAUGGUGGGGGUUGGAAAGUUUCGGCGGUUGGGGAUGGACUCGCGGCUUAUCAGCUUGUUGGUGGGGUAGUGGCUUACCAAGGCUUUGACGGGUAGCCGGCCUGAGAGGGUGACCGGCCACAUUGGGACUGAGAUACGGCCCAGACUCCUACGGGAGGCAGCAGUGGGGAAUAUUGCACAAUGGGCGGAAGCCUGAUGCAGCAACGCCGCGUGCGGGAUGACGGCCUUCGGGUUGUAAACCGCUUUCGCCUGUGACGAAGCGUGAGUGACGGUAAUGGGUAAAGAAGCACCGGCUAACUACGUGCCAGCAGCCGCGGUGAUACGUAGGGUGCGAGCGUUGUCCGGAUUUAUUGGGCGUAAAGGGCUCGUAGGUGGUUGAUCGCGUCGGAAGUGUAGUCUUGGGGCUUAACCCUGAGCGUGCUUUCGAUACGGGUUGACUUGAGGAAGGUAGGGGAGAAUGGAAUUCCUGGUGGAGCGGUGGAAUGCGCAGAUAUCAGGAGGAACACCAGUGGCGAAGGCGGUUCUCUGGGCCUUUCCUGACGCUGAGGAGCGAAAGCGUGGGGAGCGAACAGGCUUAGAUACCCUGGUAGUCCACGCUGUAAACGGUGGGUACUAGGUGUGGGGUCCAUUCCACGGGUUCCGUGCCGUAGCUAACGCUUUAAGUACCCCGCCUGGGGAGUACGGCCGCAAGGCUAAAACUCAAAGGAAUUGACGGGGCCCCGCACAAGCGGCGGAGCAUGCGGAUUAAUUCGAUGCAACGCGUAGAACCUUACCUGGGUUUGACAUGGAUCGGGAGUGCUCAGAGAUGGGUGUGCCUCUUUUGGGGUCGGUUCACAGGUGGUGCAUGGCUGUCGUCAGCUCGUGUCGUGAGAUGUUGGGUUAAGUCCCGCAACGAGCGCAACCCUUGUUCACUGUUGCCAGCACGUUAUGGUGGGGACUCAGUGGAGACCGCCGGGGUCAACUCGGAGGAAGGUGGGGAUGACGUCAAGUCAUCAUGCCCCUUAUGUCCAGGGCUUCACGCAUGCUACAAUGGCUGGUACAGAGAGUGGCGAGCCUGUGAGGGUGAGCGAAUCUCGGAAAGCCGGUCUCAGUUCGGAUUGGGGUCUGCAACUCGACCUCAUGAAGUCGGAGUCGCUAGUAAUCGCAGAUCAGCAACGCUGCGGUGAAUACGUUCCCGGG